GACGAACGCUGGCGGCGUGCUUAACACAUGCAAGUCGAACGGAAAGGCCCUGCUUUUGUGGGGUGCUCGAGUGGCGAACGGGUGAGUAACACGUGAGUAACCUGCCCUUGACUUUGGGAUAACUUCGGGAAACUGGGGCUAAUACCGGAUAGGAGCUCCUGCUGCAUGGUGGGGGUUGGAAAGUUUCGGCGGUUGGGGAUGGACUCGCGGCUUAUCAGCUUGUUGGUGGGGUAGUGGCUUACCAAGGCUUUGACGGGUAGCCGGCCUGAGAGGGUGACCGGCCACAUUGGGACUGCGAUACGGCCCAGACUCCUACGGGAGGCAGCAGUGGGGAAUAUUGCACAAUGGGCGGAAGCCUGAUGCAGCAACGCCGCGUGCGGGAUGACGGCCUUCGGGUUGUAAACCGCUUUCGCCUGUGACGAAGCGUGAGUGACGGUAAUGGGUAAAGAAGCACCGGCUAACUACGUG
rnacentral:rRNA from 1 species